GCUCAGCGAUGAAGGGAUGGAGGGCGUAACAAUGCGUCCGUUGCUUAGACACUCUGGAAAUCAUGGACAUGUCAUUGGCUACUGUGGCUAGCAACAGCUAACAUGUUCUAAAACAGCGUUUGUGGAAAUGUUUAAAAGUUAUAGAAUUGAACGAGAUCGUUAAUAGUUACGUUUAACGGCUACACGUUCAGAUUUUGCGUGCAUUCUCUACUUAAGUAACAUACAUCUACAGCAAAAGCACACACACAUCAUUCAACCUGCAAUCAUCUGGAGAUCAACCGAUUGUUUGUGAAAUAACCGAAAUCUGGUCACCUUACUGUAGUCGGUGUGUCAUAAGCUACCGUACAGAUGCUAGUUGGGAUAGUGUUGUCAUGCCAGCCACAAGCUCCUAUCUGGUCUAACAAGGCUCCUGUUUCAGUUUGAUCAGAUGUCGUUCUGCCUGGCGGAGCUGUAUUUGUGGUCCUUCAGGAGCAGCCUGCAAGUCGAAGAUACAGAUAUCGGCACAUACCAAUUCUAUGACAAAGGAGAACCAGCCUCUCCUACAGAUCAGCAUUACUACAAUGAGAAACAGCAGUUUGCAGAGAGUCGGGGUUACCCAUGGUUCCUUAGUAACCGUCGUCCAGAGAAACUGCGCGAUGCCCUAAAGGAACUAGAGGAGCUGCUGCAGUCAAGCACGGUCUUGAGUGUCAGAUGGAGAACCAAGCAGUGCUGUCAGAUGCUGUUGAGAUCUGGUGUGCUGGUGACUCUAAUCCUGGGCGGAGCUCUGGUUGAACGGGUGACCAUUGACAGAACACUGGUGGGGCGACUGCCUGCUGAUACCAUCAGUGAUGCUGUGAUUGGAGAUCGCAUCCUUCUGUUCUCAAUGAAGGAGAGGAGUCAGGUGUGUCAUGUUUACCUGAACAGGAAGAACCAGAGCUCACCUGAGCUAAAACGACACAGGGAGAAACUCACAGCUACGGAGAUUAAGGUAUCUGUUGUGGACUUACCAGGCGGAGGGCACCGUGUGGAGCGUCGGGUGGGACUUAACCGGGCACAGGAUCUGGCACUGUGCUGGUGGCCACUCUGUAACGAGGAAGUUAGACCUUGGUCUCCAGUCCCUAGUGCAACAGACAGGGCCAACCUGGUGCUGCUCGCAUGCUCGGACACAUCUGUGUUUACAAUCUUGAGCUCCAUACGAACUGACGGAAACCCUAUAGACUGCAGAUUCAGCCUAAUGCAACCCUACCAUGUCCUCACUGUAGAGCUGCACCAGGAGGCCAGAAACUCCACAUCUGAGCUGCACGAGGAGGCCCAGCCUCCUGAUGUUCAAACCAGUGUGUAUGAGUGCGCUCGUGGGCGUCUCCAGCAUCUGUCCAGCACUCCUGUACCCCUCUCAUCCAAACCCAUAACCUGCAGCCAUGACCCGUUGGAGCGCUGGGUUCUUCUGGGGCUUCAGGACUGCUCCGUGGUUCUUUUUGAUCCACAGACCGGCCUCUCCCAGUGGGCCACCUGUUCCAUGUUGCCUUCUCUGCUGGCAUGGCACCCUUCAGGAGCUCUGCUGAUGGUGGGUGGAGGUCAGGGGGAGCUCCAGUGCUUCGAUAUGGGGCUUUCGCCUCUCCCUCUGCGGAUAGUGAGUGAGGAACAGUCUCCUGGUUCUGUAGGCCCUGGCCUCCAGCUAUCUUGUCACAUGAAGACCUCUGGGGGGCUGGAGGGGAUGCAGUGGGCCUACUGUCCGAUAUCCCAGGGGUCCGAGGGUAUGGAAGCACAUGACCUAUUGAUGCUUUGUUUCCAUGGAGGGCCACUUGCUGCAAUAAGGCUAAGACUGGGUGUGUUAAAUGGAGCUCAGCUCAGCCCAGGUGAUCUGGUACAGCAUCGUUUGCGCUGUGGGGAGGUGAACGCAGCAUUGGGCAUUGUGGGUAAUAUGGACUGGGCCAUGAUGGGUGCAGAGUGUUUCAGGUCCCUCAUCUCCAUCACAGACCACUUGCUGAGGAGACCACUGGACCACCAGACUGAGGGUCAGUUAGAAGCAGCUCUUGGGGUCUUCUAUGCCCCCUCUAGACCCCUCUCAAACACAGUCAUACUGGAGUACAGAGACCCCAUCAGCAGAUACGCCCGCCGAUUCUUCCAUCACCUGCUCAGACACCAGCGCUUUGAAAAAGCCUUCCUUCUGGCCGUAGAUAUCGGCGCAAGAGAUCUGUUCAUGGACCUCCAUUACGUGGCAGCAGAUAAGGGUGAGGUGGUGUUAGCAGCUGUAGCCAAGAAGAAGGCUAAUGAAAUAGAUGCAGAAACACAAACAUCGGUACCAGAUGAGUGUCAGUCAGUGAACGGAGGACAGAGUGGAGUGUCUUUUUCAUCUGUACCAGACACACACACUGAACGCAAACUACGGGCAGCCGUCAACGAGAAUGAUGCGCAUGACCUCAAACACUGGUGUGCUGCUUCAAGCUCCCUCUAUCUUCUUCAAAUCCUCCCUCUCACAUCAGCCAGUUCUGAACCGACGGCCCAAAGAAGAUGGGGCAGGAUUAAAGGGUUUUUAAAACAUAAAAUAAGGAGUUUUUGGUUUUGGCUAAUUUGGCAGCCUGAAUCGCAGUUUACAGGCUUGUACUGCUACACAGCCACAUGCAAGACAUCAGAGGGAGAGAUGCUCCCAUCCAGAUAAAUAGCAGUCAAGAGAGAGGAAAUCAUUUUUUUUUUUUCUUCAUUUUAUUCUAUUUAUCCAGACUAAUCUGGUCUCCGAUGAAGUUUUAUUGUUUCUUAUGCCGAGCCAAUAAGGCUUAGAGACACUGAGUCGAGCUUUAUGCCUGCGUUAAGCUGGCAAAGAAAAAAAAGCAUGAGAGAAGGAGUACAAUGACUUGGUGGCAUCAACCUCGGUUGUACUAAAUCCAACACUGCGCAGGGAGAGAGGCAAAGAGGCGGAUAUCUGGAAUCAUCCCAACAUUUCCCUGUCUUAUUCAACACACACAUCUGUUUACAUAUCGUUUCAGUCUCACAUGUUCUGCAUACAUACACACGCUUCUUCGAUGCACAGCUCUUGGACCCGUGAUACAUUUUGCAUCCGAGUGCAUCUGUACAUGUGUAGUGAUGUGUAUUUGUUCAUUCGGUUACUUGUUUGGUGUGGGCUGCACCCUGUAGGCCUCUUUCUUUCUUCCUCCCUCUUUUCUGUGUAAGCACCUUGCAUCACUAAAGGAAAUUUACAAAACUACAAAAAUCGCACGCCACCUUCAUUGCCAGUAACUGCAGAAAAACGAAAUCGCACAGCCCACAAUAGUACUGAUUACAUUCACGCAGACUUGCAUGCUUGCUGAAUGUGGCAGUGCGGUGCGCGGUGGCAGUGUGUGAAAGAGAAAUCCAGGCCCAGCUGCUGUGAAUACUAGUACAUACUGGUGUAUCAGUGUGAACAGAAUGGGACCUGCAUUUAUUUGCAUUUGAUUGACGAUUUUAGAAAAUUCAAUACUUUUUAAGUUAGCAGUGCAUGUCUGGUGACCCUAGAAAGUAUUUGGACACUGAAACGGCACUUAAAAAUGUAUAUGCCUAUCCACUAAAACACACAUUGAGACAAAAUAUUUUUGUAAUUGCAAAAAUGACUAAUGAAAGUGAAGAUGGUUUUUAAAAAAAGCUCUUGCAUGAUUUGUUUGCAAAUUAAUUGAUAUGUUGUAUGUAAUGUAAUGAAAUUCAGACAUAACUGAGUGUGAAUUCAUUGUUCGAAAGUUUCCAAAUACUUUUUGAUGCCACGGUGCCUGUACAAUUGCUGUUGAGACCAAGCAAAUGGGUUACAGAGAUUUGAGGUGUCGGUAUUAUUUUGCCAUAUUUCCAGUGGCUGUAGGUUGUUUAUAACAGAAGAAUUAAGCAAUGGGGCACCUGGGUAGCUCAGUGGUAAAGACGCUGGCUACACUGGAGUUUGCUAGUUUGAAUCCCAGGGCGUGCUGAGUGACUCCAGCCAGGUCUCGUAAGCAACCAAAUUGGCCCGGUUGCUAGGGAGGGUAGAGUCACAUGGGUUAACCUCCUUGUGGUUGCUAUAAUGUGGUUCGUUCUCGGUGUGGUGAGUUGAGUGUGGAUGUCGCGGUGGACGACGUGAAGCCUCCACAAGCGCUAAUGUUUCCGUGGCAAUGCGCUCAACAAGCCACGUGAUGAGAUGCAUGUGUUGACGUUCUCAGAUGCAGAGGCAGCUGGGAUUUGUCCUCCGUCGCCCGGAUUGAGGCAAGUCACUACUUGAGGAUUCUUCAUUGCAGCAUUGAGGAUUCUGCAAAGGCAAAAAGGCAGUGGCUACACAUUUGGUCAAAUAUGACCAAAAUCGUGUUUCUUAGACCCAACCGGGAGUUUGCGUACCCCAGGGGAAAUGUUAGCAGGUUCCAGUAGGUAUGCGAAAAGAAUUAGACUUUGCCUUGUUUAAUCUAGAAAACAAAAUAUAUGACAUAAAAGAAAAAUAAUAAGUAUUAGGGCUGGGUAAAAAAUAUUGAGUUUCAGAUUAAUUAUGAUCUUAAUUUAAAAGAUCUUGAUAUUUAUUCUUAAAAUCCCAAUAUCGGUAUUUUAAUAUGCAAAGUUAAGCCCCGAGAACCUUUCACUGCGUGUUGAGAACAAAAGUUUGGUUUGAUUGUUUUGGUUAAAGCGUGUCCAAAGACGAGAUCCACGCAAUCCAUAUUGUCAGUGUUUUUCAUUCUUUACAGUCAAGUCUUUACAAGAACAGAAUUUAAUCAAAUAAAUAAUCCAGUACACUCUUAUGAAUAUGCACUUGACCAAAACAAAAUACUGAACUGCCGGUAGUUUUAAAGAGACAGUACAGACUUUUCUAUGUAAAUCGUAAAGUAAAUGGUACACGUUAUCCAUGUAAACAAUAAACAUGUUGUCAAUAAAUAUGCAGUGUAUAUAUUCUGUCUGCCAAAUUGAUGAAAAACUAAUGAUAAAUGAUUUUUUUUUUUUUUAAUGGUUUAAAAAAGUUUUCAUUGCCAAGGCAUUAGUUUCAUGGCUCAUAUGGCCCGGUUUUGUUUUUGUUGAUGAAUAAACUUAAUAACUUCAUCUUUUCCUUUUGUACAUCAGGGAUAUAAAAAUUUUAAUGAGAACAUUAAAUUAUAUUUAGCCUUUGGUACACAUCUUGCUUUUGGGUCGAUAAAGGGGUACUUGAGCCUUACUGUAGAUGCUUUGGGCGAACUUACGGCAAAAAAAAAGAGGCUGGGAAACACUAUCUUAGACUAUAAUGUGUCCUGUAACAGACAUGUUUGACUCAUCUAUUCUCAGAUUCAGAGAACAUUAAGUGUGAAAAUGGCAGUAACUGGUUUCUGUUUCUGAAGGGCAGUAUUGUUUAUAGAAUAGAUGCUGGUAUAACAUAUUUAAUAUAAAUUUCAGUACCUGUAUAUCUGAAAUAAAGUGUAACACAGUCUCUCUUUCCUGCAGUAGCAAGACUGGAGAAAUUUUGACCUCGGAGGUAAAGGAUGACCUCUCUAACACCCAGAUAAGUCAUCGCACCUGUCCUUGGAAACACACAGAAAUCAACCUUGUUGACCGAGACACUCAGGUGCCUGAGGAAGGGAAACUGAAAGU